GCCAGUUUGGCUCAGUGGAUAGAGCAUCAGCCUUUGGACUGAAGGGUCCCAGGUUUGAUUCCUGUUAAGGGCA
rnacentral:tRNA from 1 species